UUUUUUUUUUUUUUUUUUUUGAGGCAGGGUUUCUCUGUCCUGAAACUCACUUUGUAGACAAGGCUGGCCUUGAACUCAGAAAUCUGCCUGCCUCUGCCUCCCAAGUGCUGGGAUUAAAAACGUGCGCCACCACUGCCCUGCUUAUUUUGUAUAUUUUUAAGUUCUUCUAAAAACUUAAUUCUAAGGUAGAAACAGACUCUUUAGUCUAAGUUCACAUAUCCCCUCAUCAUUUUCCCAUCAGUGGGUGGUUAUAGUGGUGCCAAUGUCAAAGGUGGCUCCUCUUCAGAAUCUGCAAGGGAUAUUUGUUGUUCGCCUUCCCACAUCUAGAAUGUUAAUUUAAUUUAUGCUCCUUGUUAUAGUUGAUGAACAUAAUUCACGGUUUGUAGUUUCACUGCUCCCAUUUUAAUGUUAAAAUACUGUAUUUACUUUUUAAAAUGACUUCGGUCUUUAUGAAAUUUGUCUUCUUAAUUCUGAUAAAUCCUCUCACUCUGCCUAUAAUUUUGGAAAUUGUCAGCAUCGUUAGAGCAUUAGGGAUUACUUUUGCUCAUCAGGAAUUUACAUUUUUGUAUUCACAGACAAAAUAGAAUUAAUAGGAAACCCUAAGAAAACAUACUCAUUUACAUCUGAUGUAUUCAUAAGUCAAUAAAAGUGAGCUCAUCUAUAAUCACUACUUAAUUACAUAUGUAGUAAAUAUUAUAUACUUCAGUUAAAGUAAUACACAUUAUCCAUUCAAUAUGUGUUGUGUUGAACAGAGAAGUCUUUAUUUUAUUUUUUGUUUAAUUGUGUUCCCCGUUACGAUGACCUCUGAAUCUUAGAAGUUCAAGGUAGGAAAGCACCAGAGGUACUGAGUGCCCCUAGUAGAGUUCUUUGAAGUAGCCCAGUCACCUUAUAAAACUUAAAAGUAUUUUUAUCCCAGUGUUUGCCAGUCUGAUCUGGGUGGCCAGUGGCUCUGUAUCACUCAUACUUCUCAUGCUUUUCUGUAUUCAUCUCCAUGGGAACUAUGAAAUAACAAUCCUUACGGAAGGACUCCAUCUGAUCCUUGCCCUUUUAAUGGCUGAUUUCUCUUUUUCUACUGACGUCAGUCUUCUCCCUUCUGUAAGUAAAAUUAGGUAUGCAUGUUAAGGAAGUUUUGUAGUCAGUAAAUGCAUCUUAUUUUCAUUAGCUUAUUUCAUAACUCAGGGAACAACACACUUGAAAGGUCAAUAGUUACAAAACCAACAUGACUUUUUGUAACUCACUUCUCCACCUAACUAUAUUUGAUUGCUUAGGUAACAGCAACAAAAACCCCCAGAGUCUUAAUUUCAGAUUGUUCUAGAUAGGCAAAUUAUACAGCUCUGUGCACACUAAAAGUGAUCUUGCAGUUACAUUGCUUCGUGUGGAUGGUUUGUGAGUGACUGAAUUGCAGACUCACAUUUCACCAGCUGUCAUUAGCUUCCAUUUAAAGGUUUUCUAUGUAAGAUAAAACUACAGUUCAACCAUCCUAAUUUAUACCUGUGCGUUUAAGGUUCUUGUCGAUUAACCUCUGCUGUGGUAUGGCCAUCCUUAGCAUUUAGUCCUCAUAUCCUCUGGUCAGAUGGCAUAACUGUAGGUGCAGUGACAGCCUCUCAAUUAGACACUGGGAAAUUGUACAUAUUUAAAAGUGACUUACCGAAAAUUUCUGUUUUUUUGGGUAUAGGUAUAUUUGUUUUAUAGAUUGUUCUGGCCGUUUAAAGUUAUUUUAUGAUUUUAAUAAAAUGUUAUUUUAGUUGUUCUUCCCUUCUCUUUAUCACUCUUCAAACAUUAUGCCUGAGAGACCUUUUAAAAAAUAUUUUUAAUUUAUGUGUGUGAAAGUGUGUGUGUGUCUGUUUGUCUGUCUGUCUGUCCUUAUAUAUGUCUGCCACUUUUGUAUGUAUUCUUAUAGAGGCCAGGAGAUGGUUGGUGUCUGUUACAGGUAAUUGUGAGUCACCUGUUGUGGGUGCUGGAAACUGAACUCUGGUCCUCAACAAGACCACUACAGUCAGUCUUUUCCUUUCCCCAUCUGCAAAGCAGAACUGUACUCUUGAUCAAGAGGAUGUGAUAAACACAAAAGUACAGCAAGCACACUGGGAGGAAGUGCACUCUGAAGAGCAAGCACACUGGGAGGAAUUGGACUCUGAAGAGAAAGUACAGUGAGAGGAAGUGCACUGGGAGGAAGUGGACUCUGAAGAGCAAGCACACUGGGAGGAAGUGCACUCUGAAGAGAAAGUACAGUGAGAGGAAGUACACUCUGAAGAGGAAGCACACUGGGAGGAAGUGCAUGCUGAAGAGCAAGCACACUGGGAGGAAGUGCACUCUGAAGAGCAAGCACACUGGGAGGAAGUGCACUCUGAAGAGGAAGAACACUAUGGCAGGAAGUGCUCUUAUAAGAGCAAGCACACCCUUGCUUUUCUAAGCAACUUGUAGCAGAAAGUGCACAUAGUUUUUAUUCUAAGGCAAGUGGUGUCUCUAUCUUCUCUCCAUUGACUAGGGCCACUGACAAUCUUUAACAAUUGGCAGAUUUUCAAGGAAUUGUACAAAGGAAGUGAUGGAAUGCAGAAAAUCGUCAUUUUCCGUCUUAACCACUGAGCUUCGCCAGCCUCUGUUCCUGCUUUCCUGUAAGGAAAUAGAAUAACUCUCUAGCUUUCAAGUCUUAAGGGUGACUGUCUUAUUCAUCGUAUUCAUUAUAAUUUUAUGUCCCCUAGUUUUAUGCUUCUAGGUUGAUUUAUUCUCCAGAACAAAUACUUUUGAAAGGAGUAUUCUUUUCUCGUACCUUGUGAGAAACCCUUGCUAUAGAUUAGUGCUCUGUGGAAUUGUGCAUGGACUGCAGUUUUGUGUUCCAUAACAGAAUAGUGGAACUUUGUUCACUAGUUUAGAAUACUUUGUGACAAUUCAGCACCCAUACUUUUACAUUAGGAGUAUAAAUAGCUGCCUUCAUAAGUGGCAUAAUAUAGGGUCAUGUAAAAAUAUAACAGCAUAUUGCAGGCCUGCAUUUUAAUUGUGUUUGAAGAAUGUGCUAAAGUUAGAGAGCUGAGCAGUCCUCUUGUAAAAUAUGAAAGUGCACUGGGGCCUCCUCUGUCUUAGCUGGUAUUACUUUGUUUUUAAGGAUAUAUAUUUCAUUUGAAAUUAUAAAAGUUCUUUUUAUCUGCAAGUUUUAUUAAAACAUUACUUUAAAAUUAUUAAAAUCUUACUUAUGAUUCUUAGCUUAUUUGGGCUCUUUUAAGAUGGAAAGGUAAUUUAUGAAUGUAUGGGUUAGGUAUAAUGUAUUUAGAGCAUAAUAUGUGUCUAAAAGUCAACAAAUAAUGUUUUGUUUUCAUAAACAUAUGCAUCUG
rnacentral:lncRNA from 1 species